UAACGAAUCUUCCCCAAUGCACGAAAGUGUGAGGGAGCGACGCCGCGUGGAGGAUGAAGUCCUUCGGGAUGUAAACUCCUGUCAGGGGUUAGAAAGUUCUGAUCAACCCCAGAGGAAGUGGCGACUAACUCUGUGCCAGCAGUCGCGGUAAGACAGAGGCCACAAGCGUUAGGCGGAAUCACUGGGCUUAAAGCGUGUGUAGGCGGACCGUUAAGUGCUUUGUGAAAUCCCACGGCUCAACCGUGGAACGGCGUGGCAUACUGGCGGUCUUGAGCCACCUAGGGGCAGCUGGAACAAGCGGUGGAGCGGUGAAAUGCGUAGAUAUCGCUUGGAACGCCCGCGGUGAAGACGGGCUGCUGGGGGUGUGCUGACGCUGAGACACGAAAGCCAGGGGAGCAAACG
rnacentral:rRNA from 1 species